GCGCUGAAAGCAUCUAAGCGCGAAGCCAACUUCAAGAUAAGAUUUCCCACCGUAAGGGUAAGAUCCCAGGAAGACUACCUGGUUGAUAGGUCGGAGGUGUAAGUGCAGCAAUGUAUGUAGCUUACCGAUACUAAUAGAUCGAGGACUUGACCAAG
rnacentral:rRNA from 1 species